rnacentral:rRNA from 1 species
AGAGCGAACGCUGGCGGCAGGCCUAACACAUGCAAGUCGAACGGACCCUUCGGGGUUAGUGGCGGACGGGUGAGUAACACGUGGGAACGUGCCUUUAGGUUCGGAAUAGCUCCUGGAAACGGGUGGUAAUGCCGAAUGUGCCCUUCGGGGGAAAGAUUUAUCGCCUUUAGAGCGGCCCGCGUCUGAUUAGCUUGUUGGUGAGGUAAUGGCUCACCAAGGCUACGAUCAGUAGCUGGUCUGAGAGGAUGACCAGCCACAUUGGGACUGAGACACGGCCCAAACUCCUACGGGAGCAGCAGUGGGAAUCUUGCGCAAUGGGCGAAAGCCUGACGCAGCCAUGCCGCGUGUACGAUGAAGGUCUUAGGAUUAGUAAAAUACUUUCACCGGUGAAGAUAAUGACUGUAGCCGGAAGAAGAACGCCCGACUAACUUCGUGACCAGCAGCCGAC